rnacentral:rRNA from 1 species
UACGGAGGGAGCUAGCGUUGUUCGGAAUUACUGGGCGUAAAGCGCGCGUAGGCGGCUUUGUAAGUUAGAGGUGAAAGCCCGGAGCUCAACUCCGGAACUGCCUUUAAAACUGCAUCGCUUGAAUCCAGGAGAGGUGAGUGGAAUUCCGAGUGUAGAGGUGAAAUUCGUAGAUAUUCGCAAGAACACCAGUGGCGAAGGCGGCUCACUGGCUCGGUACUGACGCUGAGGAGACGGAAAGCGUGGGGAGCAAACAGG